GGGGCGGAGCGACACGGACGUCGCUCCGAGGCUCGCCGCGACACGACGUCGCGUCGAGCCGGACCC
rfam:Halothiobacillus sp. XI15 contig_5, whole genome shotgun sequence.